rnacentral:ncRNA from 1 species
CUUUACACAUUCCUGGAAAACAGUUGAAACGGUUCCUAUUUACCUGAGAAAUGCAUCUCCUAGAAAUAGGAUCUGAAAUAAAAGCAACAAAUGUGACAUCCCUGCAGCAUCCCACUCUAGGGACAGCAUCAGAUGGGGAGUUUGGCCGGGACAGUACACCCACCAAACCAUAAAGCAGGUGUCCUGAGAUAAGCUCAGGGAGGAUGGAAACUUUCUGAGGUAGCAAAGGGCAAAAUCUUGCUUGAUCUUGACUUUCAGUGCAAAUACAGACCAUGAAAGCAGAGCCUCAUGAUCCUUCUGACUUUUUGGGUUUUGUCCAAAACCCCAAACAUCCCUAACUUGCAUUAUGUUUACACCUGUAAAUUGUAAUUGUUAUUUUCCAGAAAGCAUUUUAGAAACAUUAGAGCUGAAAAG